UCUUCCCUUUGUGCCCCAGGGAAGCACAGCAGUACGACAAGGCUCAGUCGGGCCCGUGCUGUCUGCCCGGGGAAAAUGAUCGUCACAUUAUCAGCACUCCAGAUUGCCGUGCAACAAUCAGUCGGCUGCAACGGUCCGUUGAACUUGAGGAGUUUGUUGAUCCCGUGUUGUGACAUCGAUCAUGUGCACUAAGACAGCAUUCGGUAUCACUUCUCCCUCAACGAUCUGCCUGUCUGCCAAAGAUUUCCGCAGCCAUUCUUAAAAGUUUAUAGUUUUCGCGACCUACUUCAUGGGAAUCUGCUUCCAGCGCAAACACCAGUUAUCGAACAGCCCUGUUUAGCUCUGUUAAAUAUUCACCAGGAACCGGACAUCACGACCUCAUGGGGCACGGGUUUAUCAGCUGAAGAGGUGGAGCAGCAUUACCCCACGUGGCGAAUCCCAGGGUGCUGAGGCACAGGCCACAGACAUGGAUGUCAUGGACCGGCCAAUGAUCCCAUCACAGCAGUGACGUAUUUCAGCUACAGGACUCGUCUUGCUGAACACCUAAUCCUCACGCAUCCCCUUCAGUCUGCUCUUGUGCACUACGCUUAAUGGAAAUGGCUUUGACUAACUGAUGAAAAGAUGAGAUGAGUUCCUGCCCAGAAGCAUCAGAAGGCAGUGAUCUGUGGCCACGAUACCACAAUGACUACAAAAAAGCCAGCCCGCUCAACUUCUCUCAGUAACUA